ensembl:snoRNA
AUUUAAAAUCAAAGAUGCAGCUGCUUUCACAUAGAAGCAGCAGUCAAAAAAAGAGCCUAAAGGGACAGUUUUCCUGUUCAACCACUGUUCUGUUGUCUGUAACCGAUUUAUGACAUUUUGGGAAAACACAGCU